rnacentral:misc_RNA from 1 species
AAUUUCUCAACCUCACCAGCUUUGUCAUGAAGUCGUGUGUAGGCUUGGAUGUGGGGGUUGCAGGUCCACUACCGUGGUCUGCUCCUCUGAAAUGUAUUAGUGGGUUAGGCCCCUAAUCUAUUGGUGUGAUAAUUAUCUACGCCGUGGAUUGGAUGGCUAAUAUAGACCUGCUUCUAACCGUCCUUACUGGACAACUCU